CGUAGGGCGCAAGCGUUGUCCGGAAUUAUUGGGCGUAAAAGAGCUUGUAGGUGGCUUGUCGCGUCUGCCGUGAAAACCCGAGGCUCAACCUCGGGCGGUGCGGUGGGGUACGGGGCGAGGCUAGAGUGUGGUAGGGGAGACUGGAACUCCUGGUGCAGCGGUGAAAUAGCGCAGAUAUCAGGAAGAACACCGAUGGCGAAGGCAGGUCGUCUGGGCCAUUACUGACACUGAGAAGCGAAAGCAUGGGGAGGCACAGGAUU
rnacentral:rRNA from 1 species